UUAGUUGCCAUCAUUCAGUUGGGCACUCUAAUGAGACUGCCGGUGACAAACCGGAGGAAGGUGGGGAUGACGUCAAGUCCUCAUGGCCCUUAUGGGUAGGGCUUCACACGUCAUACAAUGGUCGGUACAGAGGGUUGCCAACCCGCGAGGGGGAGCUAAUCCCACAAAGCCGAUCGUAGUCCGGAUCGCAGUCUGCAACUCGACUGCGUGAAGUCGGAAUCGCUAGUAAUCGUGA
rnacentral:rRNA from 1 species